UACGGAGGGGGCGAGCGUUAUUCGGAAUUAUUGGGCGUAAAGGGCGCGUAGGCGGCCGUCUAAGUCAAAGGUGAAAUCCCUCGGCUCAACUGAGGAACUGCCUUUGAAACUGGAUGCUUGAGGCCGGGAGGGGGUAGCGGAAUUCCCAGUGUAGCGGUGAAAUGCGUAGAUAUUGGGGAGGAACACCAGUGGCGAAGGGCGGCUACCCUG
rnacentral:rRNA from 1 species